CGAGUUCCCGUACGAUCACUGAAGUUAAGCAACGUCAAGUCUGGUCAGUACCAAGAUGGGUGAUCGCUUGAGAGUACCAGGUGCUGUAAG